UGCACAAAAGUAGAAUUAAGACAUCCAGGCUAAAUGGCUAAGCUGAGCUCAAUGAAGUCAAAACAAGUGCGUCCACGCUUAAUUGGUUGCACAAAGACCAAGCCAGGAUGAUCAGACACGGAUUCAUAAAGCCAGGUGAAACCAAUCCUGGAUAGGUGCGCGCUCACGGCUCACUCAACUAGACCCUGCCACCGAUCACAGAUUCACCGAUUCACCAUGGCAACUAGCGGCGUUCUUUUUCCCGUCAGAGGCACAAAUCCAUACGAGGAGGUAAAAGACAUAAUUAAGAAGAAAGGCAACACCGCCACAGUGGUAAAGCAGAGAGACAAAGCGUGGCAAAGUAUUGCAGACCGCCUGAAUGCAUUAAAUAUGACCGGGCCAAAACGGACAUGGCAGCAGGUCAAAAUCAAAAUCUGCAGAAUGCAGUGAAAAAGAAUACCCAGAGACAAGGCACGGGUGGUGGGUCACCAAAAGCUGACCUCAUCCCAGCAGAGGCCAGCUUUGGAGCUAAAUAAAGGCAGGCCUGUUGGAGGGAAUCCCUGGGGGAAAAAAGACAAGCAAAGGUCCCUCACAAGAUGCCACCCGCUUCAUACAAGGUAUGUUCUUCCAUCUCUACAUGGGACACAAUCACAUUCAUAUUGAAUCUAUUUGGACUGUCUGACUUUGGUUUGCCUAUUGCCUUGUAGUGUCUGGCAGCACUGUGUUACUGUUAAAGCCACCAGCACGAGCACCUGACGAUGCUGAUCCAGUGAGUACUCCAUCAAAGGCACACUGUAGGCCUGGCAUGUCUUGUCUACUAGCUUCAAUAUGAAUCCGAUUAAAUGUGAUGGGGUCAAGGCCCCAUUUCAUCAGCACAUAACGGCGAUGAUGAUGAGGAGACCAUCUCUCUGGAUUCCAAAAGGCAUAAGGACCCAGAGUCAUUGGUGCACUGGACUGCACAAACAUAAGGAUAAAAGCCCCCUCAUGUGCCCAUGAGGCAGAUUUUGUAAAUAUGAAAUCUUUUUGAUCUUUUCCAUUGAACACUGGCAAAAUGGCCUAGCUCAGUCCAUGACUCCAGAAUCUUUUGGACCUCUGAAAUCUAUCAGCGCCUAUCACAAGGUGAAUUCUCUGGUGUGUUGCUGGUAGACAGGGGGUAAGGCUGCCAGCCGUUUUUCCUGCCACCUUUCACAGACCCCCAGGAAGCACAGCAGGCCUACAACUAUGCCCAUGCUUAUAAUGUUAUAAGCAGAGUUGAAAUAACCUUUGGCCUCCUGAAGGCAGGCUCUCACUGCCUUCACAAAUUAAGGGUCAGCCCUGUGAGGGCAUGUGACAUUACUGUGGCUGGUGGUGUCCUCCACAAUGUGGCCUGCCUGAGGAAGGAGAGGGCACCCAGAGGGCACCCAGAGUGCCGCCAGCCAUGGAAUGGGACAAUCCGGAAAUCUUCCCUGAUGACAACAGUGGUUGGCUGCUGAGGGACCAAUAUGUGUUGAAUUAUUUUAGUCAGUAUGUGUGCUUUUCACAUUUUUUUGAUGUUUGUGCUGUAUACUGUGUGUAUACUGUUUGUAAUAAGCUUGCAGGGAGGCUACUGCAUCCAUUAAUUGUCUUGUUUUCAGUUGUCUGAAAUUGUCUGUUCAGUUAAUGUGUAUGAAUUUGUCCUGCAUUUAUUUCAGUGUGCAGACAUGCAGGGUGUGUUAUAUACAGACCUUUGAAUGUGUUUUUAUCCUUUGGUUGUAUAAUAUGCUUUGAUUCUGUGCUUUCCAUCUUGUAGAGUCACUGUGUGACUUCAGUUUCGAAAGGAGCUGAUGGUUUACCUGCUUUGGUUUGUCCUUAUUCAAUAAAGAAACAUUAUGUUACACUUUGUGCUUUUAUAUUUAUAUGA